CAUGGGUGCCAGAUUGAAUGGGUUGGUUUUAAGCAUCAAAUAUGAGAGUUUCUCCUCGUGUGG
rnacentral:tRNA from 1 species